CCCUGACAAUCGCUGGGAAGUGUGCGGUGGCCCGGACCAUUCAAAAAAGGCUCAUUGUCCCCGGAGCUUGAGGAGCAAAGCCACUGCUUUUGUUCAGCUGGAAAAGAAUGAAACCCACAUUCAAUGGUAUUGUCCCAUGGCAAACCAGGCUUUUAAUUGGCAUGUUGGCGCAAGGAUUUUAAAAGCAAAGUCAAGGUGAUCCUUCCAGUGAGCCAUGUGGGUGUGUGUUUACAUCGGCCUGUGGAGGCUGGGAAGUUCAAUGUUGAGGAUGCCUAGCUGUGAGAACUGCAUUCAUGUCAACUCAGGGGAGUGCCAGCCAACUGUCCUGGACGCGCAUUAAGACUGGCUGUGGAGUUUCUCUGAUCUGAAUUGACGAGGUGCUGUUAAUACUGAUGAUCCUGAGGCAUCUCCCUCUGAACAGGUAUUGAACCGUGGCUUCCAGAGCUGGGGUGUCUGCUUAUUCUGUCUUCUCCCAGUCCACCAGUCCUCAAACAGGAAGCAACACUGACUCUGUUCAUGUACAUAUAAGGGAGGAAAAAGCCUUUCCCUUUCCUUCAGCUGGGGACUUGCAAAUUAGACUAACAAAACGAAGACUAGCCAGAGAAAAAUAUACAAAUGUAUUCAAUAUAAGUUUUACAUGACCCAGGAGCCUGCAGAGGGAGAAUAAAUGGUUAAACCAGGAGGUUUCAUACUAGGUUCGAGGAAGAGUGGAUAGUGAUGGAAAAACAUAAUCAGAGAAAAGAGCGUGAGACACAGGAGGUAAACUGGGGGAAAUUUAACGAGACCAUUUCCUUUGGAUUCCUCUCGGGGUCCCUCCGUCUCUGGAGACAAGAAUGCUCUCUUCCCCUGGGUAUCGAGAGAGCACCUGCCACGUGAGGAUCUUAUGACCUGCAUCAAGGGUGAGGGAAGAGGGCACAGAAUCCAUAGAAGGCCAGCACGUGCUGUUUUUAUGACCCUCAGCUUAAAAUGCUCAAUAUGCGAUGCUGCCAUAUUUUGGGGGAGUGUGUUCUGAACUCCGUCAACCUACGUUCUUUAAGAGAUCAUCUGCUUCUUCAGUCUCUUUAUCCUUAGGUAACUAACGUAUGAUCCAUUUUACAGUAGGCUGCUACAUCAAUGAAGAGAAAUAUACUUAAUUUUUUAAAAAACUCCAUAAAGAGAAUUUUCUUCCAAGCCAAAGGGGUAGGAUUAAGUUGUUUUUAAAUUACUCUUAUUAUUCGAGGAGUAACAACAAUGUUCUUCCCAGCUUAAUUCUGGCAAUAGAGAACCCAGAGGUGCUUAGUAAACACAUGAGACCAGUGUAAGCUAAUAAACAUAUGCUAGUAAAACAGCCCUUAUAUCAAUUGGUGUAUUUUCCUGAAAGUCAGCUUAUCAAUAGGCAUCAAAGACCUUUUAAAUAUGUACAAACCUACGACCUCCUAAGUCCCUUCCUAGGAAUUUAUCUAAGGGAAACGUUUGGACAAGUGGACAAAGAUGUAUGACUGAAGACAUUCAGCAGAGACUUGUUUAUAAUGGGGACACAUUAGGAAACUCUUUUAAAGUCCAUUAAUAGAGGACUGGUUGGAUCAACAAUGGCAUAGUCAUGCAAUAGAAUAGGCUAUAACAAUUAAGAAUGCUGUUACAGAGAAAUACAUCUAUUUGUGCAUUUGGGGUCUGACUGUAAAUCGGUGCAGCACCAUGAAAAACAGUAUGAGGGUUGCUCAAAAAAUUAAAAGUGGAUCUACCGUA
ensembl:lncRNA